rnacentral:tRNA from 1 species
UCCUAGAAGCCUGCGGAGCUUCAGACCUGGGUUCGAAUCCCAGCUCGGGCG